rnacentral:rRNA from 1 species
UACGGAGGGGGCUAGCGUUGUUCGGAAUUACUGGGCGUAAAGCGCACGUAGGCGGCUUUGUAAGUUAGAGGUGAAAGCCCGGGGCUCAACUCCGGGAUUGCCUUUAAGACUGCAUCGCUAGAAUUGUGGAGAGGUAAGUGGAAUUCCGAGUGUAGAGGUGAAAUUCGUAGAUAUUCGGAAGAACACCAGUGGCGAAGGCGACUUACUGGACACAUAUUGACGCUGAGGUGCGAAAGCGUGGGGAGCAAACAGG